UGGCAACGCCACCUCACCAGAGGAGUGUUCUAAUUUACCAGUUUCUACUCCAGAGGAAACCCCAUCCCCAGAGAAGUUCAGUGACUUGUGGGAAAUCCCAGAGAGAUAGAAGUGAAACCUCUAUCAGAAGGUCAGACGCCAUCCCGAGGCAGCGACUCGUGACAGUUGGACAGCCCCACAGCCAACAGUGCUGCUUCAUCCUUCCGAGCAAUCAGUGUCUGCAGCUGUACAGGGAACACAGUUCUUGAGAUGACCACCAAGAACAGCAGCAGCAGUGGAGUAAGUACAGGCAG